GGGGAGCUUCUUUUUGGAAAAAUUGAGGAAAAAGUGAAAGAGGGGAGAGAAGCCAUCCGUGGAGUUUGAAAGUAAAGAGAGAGAAAGAGUACGAAGGAAGAGGGAGAGUGACGUGAGAGAGAGAGAGGGAGAGGUGAAAAGUAAAGAGUGAUUUGACCCCUACUAUUCACCAUCUUCCCCAAAUUGCUGCCCCUCCUCUGCAACCUCCAUCCGCGAAGCUUCCGCCACCGUCCUUCCUCGACGCCGCGCCUCAACGCCCUGCCCCGACGACCCGAAGCCUCGACGCUCCACUCUCCACGAGCAAGCUAGCCACGGCCGCCGCGCCUGAGCCCCACUCCGACGGCUUAUUUCAUCCGACGCCGCGCCUCCACCUCGGCGUCCCCGUAGCCGAAGUCCGCCUCGCCUGCCCGCUGCGACACCAGCAACCCGCGAAGCCAAGCCCGAGCCGUGCUACAGCCGAGCCGCCUUGCCCGCAACACCGUCACCGAUCGACCCACGCGGCCCCGACGCUGAGCCCCGUCUGUUUCGCCUGAACCGCGACCCGCUGCUUGUGUCUCCGGUCCGCCCGCCUCCGAGUGACGUUCGCACCCGUGCUGCUUCGACCAGCGUCCCUGCUCGCUGCUCCACUUGCCGCCAGAGCCCCCGCGCCAGAGAUCCGACGACCCGCCGGACCGACGCCAGUUGCCGUAGGUGACCUGCCACGAGCAAUCCGUGAAAAGGGAAAAGAAAGCAAAAAAAAACAAAAGGAAAAGAAAAGGGAAAAUUAGGUAGUUUUUAUUUAUUUAUUUACUUACUGUUUUCUUUCUCUUUCCUUUUUAUUUUAUCCUUUUAGUGAAAUUGUUCCCUUUAAAUACGUGAUUGAGAUCCCAAUAUGAAAUAGUCCCUAGGGAUUGACAGUCCGAUUUUCGCGCCCGAAAUCCGACUCGCAAUCCCUUAUAAAAAUUGACAAUCCAAU
rnacentral:lncRNA from 1 species